rnacentral:rRNA from 1 species
AGAAACUUCAUUCUCGAUUCUACGAGAUUUUUUAUGAAAGCGUUUCAUUUGCUUCUCUUCAAUGGAAGUUUCAUUUUCCCAGAAUGUAUCCUAAUUUUUGGCCUAAUUCUUCUUCUGAUGAUUGAUUCAACCUCUGAUCAAAAAGAUAGACCUUGGUUCUAUUUCAUCUCUUCAACAAGUUUAGUAAUAAGCAUAACGGCCCUAUUGUUCCGAUGGAGAGAAGAACCUAUAAUCCUUUUGGCUCAACUUUAUCCUAGUUUUGCCGAAGGAGCACUGAGGGAAGUACCUUUUCCCCUUCUUCACGAGUAG